ensembl:misc_RNA 7SK 7SK RNA
GGAUGUGGGGGCGAUCUGGCUAUGACAUCUGUCACCCCACUGGUUGCCAGCGCUGAUUCCAGCUGAUCUGGCUGCCUGGGCAGGUGCCUCCUUCCUUCCUCACUGUUCUGUUUGUCCCUCCUGAAGCUGUAGGCUUAGUGAAAGAGGACAGCCUUCACCAGUGGAUGAGGAUCAUUUCCUUUGUCAAGAAAUAGCUCUGCUCCUUUACUACAACCUCCAAGCAAACUCUCAAGGUUGCACACAUUCCAAGGACAAGGACUUUCAAAGCACCUUUGGAUGCCCAAAAGUUUAAAUUG